rnacentral:tRNA from 1 species
GAGAGUAUAGCUCAGUGGUAGAGCACAUGCUUAGCAUGCAUGAGGUCUUGGGUUCAAGUCCCACUACCUCCA